rnacentral:rRNA from 1 species
CCUACGGGAGGCAGCAGUGGGGAAUAUUGCGCAAUGGGCGAAAGCCUGACGCAGCGACGCCGCGUGAGGGAUGAAGGUCUUCGGAUCGUAAACCUCUGUUAGCAGGGAAGAACGGUCAUUGUGCUAAUCAGCAGUGAAUUGACGGUACCUGCAAAGGAAGCACCGGCUAACUCCGUGCCAGCAGCCGCGGUAAUACGGGGGGUGCGUGCGUUAAUCGGAAUUACUGGGCGUAAAGCGCUCGUAGGCGGUAUGUCAAGUCAAGGGUGAAAGCCCCGGGCUCAACGUGGGAACUGCCUUUGAAACUGGCAGACUGGAGUAUGUGAGAGGAUAGUGGAAUUCCAGGUGUAGGAGUGAAAUCCGUAGAUAUCUGGAGGAACAUCGGUGGCGAAGGCGACUAUCUGGCACAUAACUGACGCUGAGGAGCGAAAGCGUGGGUAGCAAACAGGAUUAGAUACCCUAGUAGUC